CUGCGAUCAACAUGACAAACAUUUUAUCUACGUGUCUGUGUAUUUCUAUGCUCCUCCCACCAGUAAAGAAGACACAGCAGGUUGUGAGAGUGAAGCUGACCCCAAAGGACCAGAACAUGGACCUGACUGAUAUUGUCGUGCAGAAGGCCAUUUUGCAGCAGAUAAAGAAGGAGCUGAGAGAUAAGGGGAUGCCUGAUGGCAUCAAACUAAGAUGGAAGGAGCAGCCCAAUGAAAAGAUAUUCCACAAGGAAGAAAAUAAGGAUUACCAGAAGAAGAAGGAGAUGAAAGACAUCAUGACAAAGAGAGAAUUCUAAAUUCAGAAGUUUACAUACAUUUUGGUUGGAGUCAUUAAAACUUGUUUUUCAACCACUCCACAAAUUUCUUGUUAACAAACUAUGGUUUUGGCAAGUCGGUUAGGACAUCUACUUUGUGCAUGACACAAGUACUUUUUUCAACAAUUGUUUACAGACAUAUUAUUUCAAUUAUAAUUCACUGUAUCACAAUUCCAGUGGGUCAGAAGUUUACAUACACUAAGUUGACUGUGCCUUUAAAAGCUUGGAAAAUUCCAGAAAAUGAUGUUAUGCCUUUAGAAGCUUCUGAUAGGCUAAUUGACAUAAUUGUAGUCAAUUGAAGGUGUACCUGUGGAUGUAUUUCAAGGCCUACAUUCAAACUCAGUACCUCUUUGCUUAACAUCAUGGGAAAAUUAAAAGAAAUCAGCCAAGACCUCAGAAAAAAAUUGUAGACCUCCACAAGUCUGGUUCAUCCCUGGGAGCAAUUUCCAAAUGCCUGAAGGUACCACGUUAAUCUGUACAAACAAUAGUACGCAAGAAUAAACACCACGGGACCACAGCCGACAGAAAGGAGACGCGUUCUGUCUCCUAGAGAUGAACAUACUCUGGUGCAAAAAGUGCAAAGGACCUUGUGAAGAUGCUGGAGGAAACAGGUACAAAAGUAUCUAUAUUCAAAGUAAAAACGAGUCCUAUAUCAACAUAACCUGAAAGGCCGCUCAGCAAGGAAGAAGCCACUGCUCCAAAACCGCCAUAAAAAAGCCAGAUUACGGUUUACAUCUGAACAUGGGAACAAAGAUCGUAGUUUUGGAGAAAUAUCCUCUGGUCUGAUGAAACAAAAAUAGAACCGUUUGGCCAUAAUGACCAUUGUUAUGUUUGGAGGAAAAAGGGGAAGGUUUGCAAGCCAAAGAACACCAUCCCAACUGUGAAGCAUGGGGGUGGCAGCUUCAUGUUGUGGGGAUGCUUUGUUGCAGGAGGGACUGGUGCACUUCACAAAAUAGAUGGCAUCAUGAGUUAGGAAAAUUAUGUGGAUAUAUUGAAGCAAUCUCAAGACAUUAGUGAGGAAGUUGAAGAUUGGUCGCAAAUGGGUCUUCCAAAUGGACUAUGACCCCAAGCAUACUUCCAAAGUUGUGGCAAAAUGGCUUAAGAACAACAAAGUCAAGGUUUUGGAGUGGCCAUCACAAAGCCCUGACCUCGAUCCCAUAGAAAAUGUGUGGGCAGAACUGAAAAAGUGUGUGUGAGCAAGUAGGCCUUAAAACCUGACUCAGUUACACCAGCUCUGUCUGGAGGAAAGGACCAAAAUUCACCCAACUUAUUGUGGGAAGCUUGUGGAAGGCUACUCAAAACGUUUUACCCAAGUUAAACAAUUGAAUAGCAAUGCUACCAAAUACUAAUUGAGUGUAUGUAAACUUCUGACCCACUGGGAAUGUGAUGAAUGAAAUAAAAGCUGAAAUAAAUAAUUCUCUCUACUAUUAUUCGGAUAUUUCAAAUUUUUUAAAUAAAGUGGUGAUCCUAACUGACCUAAGACAGGGAAUUUUUACUAGGAUUAAAUUGUGAAUUGUGAAAAACUGAGUUUAAAUGUAUUUGGCUGAGGUGUACGUAAACUUCCGACUUCAACUGUACGUGUGCAACUGUAUGGAAUUACAAUUAUUGGUUUGUACAUCAAGUUUUGGACAAAUGAAUGAUAUAUAGCCAUUGAUUAUUGAAGAAUAUAUAUGCCUCAAGAUCUAAAUUCAACUAAUUUACCCCUCAGAAGCCAAAACAAAUCUUAUUUGAACUAUUGUUUUUCUACAAUGUAAUUGUGAACAGCACAUUAUAGAUUUAAAUUCGAUCACAUGGAUAGUCAAUCCUUGCAUCCUUAGCUCUAUGAAUUUGACAGUGGUUUCCCAGCCUCAGCUGUUUACCAAAAAGGGUGCCACUUUGUUGUUUUUUGAAUCCAAGAUUGCUCUUUAGAAGAUUCAAGUUUUGUUCUUCAGAAGAAAGUAUCCAAAUAUAUAAUGUAAUGGUCACUUUUCCAGUAGAAUACUGUUAUGCCUCUUUUGAGAGCCUUUAUAUUGCUCCAGUCAGCUCUUGAUAUGCAAUGCUUUGGGACUGUCGCUUACAGUGUGCAAUGCCGUUUUCAAGAGAAAUUCAAUAAUAUGUAAUAAUGUAACUUUUUUGUACACUUAAACAGAGCUGGCACUUGUCAAAGACAUGUCAGGAGUUGUCUGUAUGUAAGGGAUAAUCAACAAGGGGCUAUGCGUUCUAUCAAAAAUAAUGCACAACGUGGAAGGUGUGUGCCACGAUGUGCAGCGAUGUGGCACUAACCUUCCAAGCCCAAAGUUU
rnacentral:lncRNA from 13 species